rnacentral:rRNA from 1 species
GAUGAACGCUGGCGGCGUGCCUAAUACAUGCAAGUUGAGCGAACAGACGAGGAGCUUGCUCCUCUGACGUUAGCGGCGGACGGGUGAGUAACACGUGGAUAACCUACCUAUAAGACUGGGAUGACUUCGGGAAACCGGAGCUAAUACCGGAUAAUAUAUUGAACCGCAUGGUUCAAUAGUGAAAGACGGUUUUGCUGUCACUUAUAGAUGGAUCCGCGCCGCAUUAGCUAGUUGGUAAGGUAACGGCUUACCAAGGCAACGAUGCGUAGCCGACCUGAGAGGGUGAUCGGCCACACUGGAACUGAGACACGGUCCAGACUCCUACGGGAGGCAGCAGUAGGGAAUCUUCCGCAAUGGGCGAAAGCCUGACGGAGCAACGCCGCGUGAGUGAUGAAGGUCUUCGGAUCGUAAAACUCUGUUAUUAGGGAAGAACAAAUGUGUAAGUAACUAUGCACGUCUUGACGGUACCUAAUCAGAAAGCCACGGCUAACUACGUG